ensembl:lncRNA
AUGGACACACUUAUAAUGCAGGAAGGCUCCGAUGUUUCGGAGAUUGAUAAAAGUGUAAAAAAUAAAUGGAGAUGGGCUUGGCUUAGCGAAAUUGGGAAGAAUGGCAAGCCUUUUAGUUCGUGGGCUAAAAAAAUCAAACAACCAGGUACGUGUCUUUGCACAGUAUGCCACAGGAAAUUUCAAUAUGGCAAUAAUGGCAAAAAAGUGCUAGCUCGCCAUCAAUCAGAAGCUAGUCACAAUGCUGCCGUUCGUGCUCUACAGUACACAUGCUCCCUGCCUGGUGCGACAAGUACCACAACGGAGAUUCAUGCAUCUAUGGCCGACCGUGUGUGCGAUGUAAAAGUGCGCAUAUGUUCUUUCAUAGCGGAGCAUGACCUGUCGUUCACAGUCUCACAACCGCUAGUUAAUUUAAUGCAAUCAGUUGUCAAAGACAAGAGUGCACUUUCAAGAUUGUCUAUGUCUAAUGCACAUGCCUCCUACUUGUGCACACAUGGCAUUUCUGCUUAUUGGAAAUCCGAAUUGUCAUCUAAGCUGAAAACGAAGAUGUUUUCUUUAAAUGUAGAUGAGGCAACAGAUGGAAACAUGGACAGGAUUCUGAAUGUUCUUGUUCGGUACUAUGAUGAAGAUGUGGGAAAAGUGGCAACCCAGCAUCUAGCCUCGAGGAAACUGAAUAUUGCAGAUGCCUUAACAAUCACAAACACAUUGAAAGAUAUUCUCCAGUCAUAUAGCCUGAACUGGAAUCAGGUUGUUGGUAUACUGUUGGAUAACUGCAGUGUGAUGAGAGGGAAAAAGUCUGGAGUAGAGACACUAGUCAGAAGAGAAAAUCCAUCACUGCUGGAUGUCAGCGGAGACACUGUCCAUAUGGUCUCGAAUGCAGCCAAGGCCCUUUUAAAUCCUUUCCAGGGAUUUGUGGAACAAUUUUGCUCUGAUGUAUACUAUGACAUUGAAAAAUCACCCAAACAGAAAGAAGUUUUUUCUGAGUUUCAGUCCUUACUUCAUUUGGAGAAUAAGAGCCUAAUACGUCCCAUCAGCAGCAGGUUCCUGCAAAUGUUGGAUGUGUGCAACAGAAUACGGGAGCUUAUGGAUCCAUUGACUGUGCACUUCUACAGCGUCCUGUCUUCUCAUGAUCAACACAAACACAGAUGGCUCCUGAACCAGCUUCUUGAUAAGCAUGCAGUUACAUCUGAUGAGAAGGCCAGGAUAAUUUGUCUGCAACAGCAAAUGGCAAAAUCUGCAAGGAUCGGAAGUGAUGUCAACAAAAAACGAAAGACACGCAUCUGUAUGCUUUUUUCAGAGUUCGACAAGCUCACAACCAUUAUUGAUUUGUAUCGAGGUGUACUUCCAACUUUUCAGGUGUUCCUGAAGAAGUUGCAACAUGAAAAGCCCAUGAUUCAUGUGCUGCAUGCUGAAAUGCUGCUACUGGUUAGGGAACUUCUCUCCAAAUUUAUGAAGCCUGAAACUAUUCCUUUGAGUGCAAAGGGCUUGUUGAAGCUUAAUGUUCACCAGAGAGACCUGCAGUACACUGACAAAAGGUUGUCUGUGGGGAGAUUCAGCUUCUUUGCCUUAAACAAGGCUAGAGUAGAAAAGAAGCCCUGGGUGCAGAAGGUCUACAGCUCUCUCAGAGAAGGCUACAUAAAGGCAGCAACAUUCCUCCUGAAAAACCUGCCCCUCAACAACAACAUCAUCACCUCUUUAUCUGCGCUGACACCAUCAUUGAUUCUCCAUGAAUCAGUCCAAGGUGCAUUCAACACCUUGGCCAAGGCCUUGCCAAAUGCUGUGAAGUCAGAGGAGUUGGGUCAACUGGAUGAAGAGGUUCGAGCCUACCAGAUUAAUACAGAUCUAGGGACACAGGCCAAAUGCUUUGAGGAGAACAAUGCACGAAUCGAUGUUGACUGGUGGAGUAAGAUUUUCGCCAUGAAGAUGCCAGAAGGAGGAAUGAGGUUCCCCAUCUUAGGGAAGUUGGUAAAGGCUCUUCUGUCAUUGUUCACUGGCCCUCUUGUCGAAGGAUCAUUUAACAUGAUGGAUGAUAUAAUUGAGAAAGACAGGGUUAGGCUGAACAUUGAGACUUAUGAAGGCUUAGCCAUUCUCAAGUCCCACAUGAAGGUAAUGGGCAAAACUGCAUCUAAAAUGCAAAUUACCCCUGCAUUAAGGAGAUUUUGCCUGUCUUCUUAUGAGACAUACCAAAAUCAUCUGAAGAAAAAGAAGGUGAACCUUGACAAGCAAAAGGAAAGGAAACUGAGGGAAGCUGUGAAGGUCCUCUCAGCAGUUAGGGUUAGAAAAGUAAAGAAAGGUUCCACCUCUUCUGUUUGUGCUAAAGCCCCCACCUCUUCCACCCUUGGAGUUAAACGAAAAGCUGCUGCUACAGUCUCCACCUCCUCCACUGCUGGAGUUAAAGGUAAAGCUGUUGCUACAGCCUCUUUCUCCUCCACCCCUG